AUUGAACGCUGGCGGAAUGCUUUACACAUGCAAGUCGAGCGGCAGCACGGGGGCAACCCUGGUGGCGAGCGGCGAACGGGUGAGUAAUACAUCGGAACAUGCCCAGUCGUGGGGGAUAACACUUCGAAAGAAGUGCUAAUACCGCAUACGUCCUGAGGGGGAAAGCGGGGGAUCGCAAGACCUCGCGCGAUUGGAGUGGCCGAUGUCAGAUUAGCUAGUUGGUGGGGUAAAGGCCUACCAAGGCAACGAUCUGUAGCUGGUCUGAGAGGAUGAUCAGCCACACUGGGACUGAGACACGGCCCACACUCCUACUGGAGGCAUCAGUGGGGAAUGUUGGACAAUGGGUGCAACCCUGAUCCAGCCAUCCCGCGUGAGUGAAGAAGGCCUUCGCGUUGUAAAGCUCUUUCGGCAGGAACGAAUCGGUGGGCUCUAACAUAGCUCGCUAAUGACGGUACCUGAAGAAGAAGCUCCGGCUAACUACGUG
rnacentral:rRNA from 1 species